UACGAAGGGGGCGAGCGUUGUUCGGAUUUACUGGGCGUAAAGCGCGCGCAGGCGGCCUCGCGCGCCCGACGUGAAAGCCCCCGGCUUAACCGGGGAGGGUCGUUGGGGACGGCGGGGCUUGAGGGCGGGAGAGGGCGGUGGAAUUCCCGGUGUAGUGGUGAAAUGCGUAGAGAUCGGGAGGAACACCUGUGGCGAAGGCGGCCGUCUGGGCCGACCCUGACGCUGAGGCGCGAAGGCGUGGGGAGCGAACGGG
rnacentral:rRNA from 1 species